rnacentral:misc_RNA from 1 species
AAAACAACUACCCAGCUUUCCUCCAUCUUCACAAUAAUGGACAGAGCUUCCCUUCACCUGCUUCUUCUCCUUCUCCUCACAGUCACUACUUUUCCACUCACACUGUCAAUAUCUCCAGACCACUUCUUUAGGCCAUCAUCAGCGGCGCCUAAAUCCACUCUUUCUGGACUCGAAUACAAAGAAUUCUUCGAGAUAAUCCAUCCUCUACCGUCUGAUCAUUUGAAACCAUUAUGUGCUCUUCACAUCAUCCACCACACCUUCGCCAACACCGUCAACCGUCCUCCCUUCUCCACCCCUUACUCUCCACCCUCCGAUUGCUCGCCUCCUUGGCGCCACGUCGCUCUCGAGUUUCGCGCCAAUUCACGCGGCGACCAGUACGAUCGGAUAUCCGGCUUGUGGCUCGGCGGAGCUGAGCUGCUCCGCACCAGCACCGCUGAGCCGACGGAGUCCGGUAUCUUCUGGAUUGUUCGAAAGGAUAUUACUCGUUAUUCCUCUCUCCUCUCGAAGACAAACAUCAACUUCACUAUCAUGCUCGAAAAUGUCGUUAAUAGCGUCUACACCGGCGUUUACCAUGUCGACGUCACUAUCUUCUUCUACAAGGAUGCCGCCGUUAGGGCUCCGGUGACUGGGGGUGAUCACAUAAGCAUUUUCCCUAAAGACGGAGGAUUUGGAGCUAAGGGUUUAUAUGAAUCGCCGGCCGAUUUGAUAAUUCCGAUAUCUUCAUUUCGUGAUAGUAAAGGGUAUUGGUUUAUAAUCGAAAGGGAUACAGAUGUUCAUUUCAGGAAAUUGAGAUUCCCAGACAACACACGCAGAGCCGUUUUGGAAUUGUACGUGUCGUUUCAUGGAAACGACGAGUUUUGGUACUCUAAUCCAUCGAAUACUUACAUUAGAAUGAACAAUUUGACAACUUUGCGUGGGAAUGGAGCGUUUAGGGAGGUUUUCGUGACAAUUGAUGGGAUGUUUGUAGCCUCAGAAGUUCCAUUUCCAGUUAUUUUCACGGGUGGGAUUAAUCCUCUGUUUUGGGAACCUACAGUGGCAAUUGGUGCAUUUGAUCUUCCUACGUAUGAUUUCGAUUUGACCCCACUUUUAGGGGUUCUUUUGGAUGGAAAAGAUCAUGUGGUUGGAGUUGGUGUUAGUGAUGGCAUUUCUUAUUGGCUUGUUGAUGCUAAUUUGCACCUUUGGUUGGAUAUUGGAGCAGCUAGUGUAGAAGCUAAAUCUGUGGUUUAUCAUAAUCCUGGUUCCUCCAUAAAACAACAAGAAGAGUUCAGGAAUCUUGAUGGGUCGUUUUCAAUCAAGGGGAAAAGGAAAACACAGCUGGUGGGGUGGAUUAAAUCAAGCGCAGGGAUGAGUCUGGUUGCUAUGUUCGUACUGUUGCAGCAAUUGGUGGCAGCCUUAUAAUAGACAAUUCAACCUAUGGCUGUCCAUCCUUUUUCUAAUAUUCUUUGGUUAUGUUAAUUUCAUUUUAGGUUGUUCUUAUUCUGAAAUCUCCAAAUAAUGUGCCUUCUGUAUCUGUCUGUAUUUAUCAAUCUUUUCUGUGAUGUAAUUUCCCAUUGUUUAAUACAUUGCAAGAUUUCUUCUUUGAUAUUGUGGUGUUCCUCUGUGUGUGUUUUUCUGUAACAUAUCUAACAUUUAUCUUUUAAGAACUUUAUAGCUUACAUGUAGUCAAAGUUUACAUUUGGAAUUGUAAUAUUCUGCAGGAUAUGGGGUGUAUUAGCCAUUGAAAGUGCUUGUUCAGUUUUGGUUAUUAAACUUGUUCAUGCUCAAACCGACCGACUCAAACUGAUUGUUAAUGGUUCGAUUUGGUUAGAUAUUGAAGAUGCAUGGUUGGUUGCGAUUUGCCUUCAACAUAAACCGACCAUGUCGAUUCAGUGUGAAAAUUUGCCCUCAAACUACCUAAACUGAACUGUGUGCAACUCUAGUUUUGAGUCUCAUGUAAGAUGAAACAAGCACUUAUUUUUUUUAGUUUCUGUGCUUUGAUGAUAGGAGAGGGAUGCUUGCUUGCAUUGCCUCCCUAUCCUUGAUCUGUAGAAGACAGCUAAAGAGGGCCCUGAUGGAGAAGUAAACUUUGUCAUGAUUUUAGGACAAGACUUUUUUUUUUGAUAAAUUAGUAUAGAUU